UACAGAGGUGGCAAGCGUUGUUCGGAAUUACUGGGCGUAAAGGGCGCGUAGGCGGUUCGUUAAGUCCUGUGUGAAAUCCCCCGGCUCAACUGGGGAACUGCACAGGAAACUAGCGGGCUUGAGUUCGGGAGAGGGAAGCGGAAUUCCGGGUGUAGCGGUGAAAUGCGUAGAUAUCCGGAGGAACACCGGUGGCGAAGGCGGCUUCCUGGACCAACACUGACACUGAUGAGCGAAAGCCAGGGGAGCAAACGGG
rnacentral:rRNA from 1 species